CGAAGUGAAAGAAACUGCUGCUCUCUGUACUAGGCCGGUGAACGCCCUGGAGAAGACUAAUUCCCCACUUCAGUGUGACACGCACACCAAGCACGGGGUCAAAUUAUUGGGUUAAAACGUGAGCAAAGGACGUGCUUCUCGCUUAAGUACACUUGACGACUAACUGGUGCAGAAAAGACUCGGUGACUUCAGUGUUGGCGGUAGUGUGACCGGGAUGGCGUCGUCUUGGAAAGUGAAAUGGCUACUUGGCUUUUGAUACCCCACCGGCAGUGAAGUUAAACCGACAGCGAAAUAUCUGAACUAAGUUUGGGUUUUGGAGCACUAUCUCAACCAUGGCACUGUACAGUACUAAUUGGACGGUCAAGCUUGGUCUUGGCCUUGUGAUCUUGGCCUCACUGACCACGGUGACUUUGACAACGACAUGUUCCACCCCC